rnacentral:rRNA from 1 species
GCAGAAUUCAGUGAAUCAUCGAAUCUUUGAACGCACCUUGCACCCUUUGGUAUCCCCAAAGGGUAUGCUCGUUUGAGUGUCAUUG